ensembl:lncRNA
UACUUCGCUUUAACACCCCUUUCCACUGAUAGCCAACCUCUUCCCUCCCUUUUUGUUCCACACAAGGGGAAAUUGCAGAGAAAUACUACUUAAUUAUCAUGCCACGUAACUAAUUAAAAGUGGGAUGCUUGUGUAUGGUAUGCUAACGAGCUAUUAGAGAUCCAGCAUGCUUUAGUGACAAGAUAUGGGUUCCUAUUCUGCCCUUCACCUGGCUGUGGAUUUCCAGUUGACACUUAACAAUGAUGAGAUGGGAAUUUAUUAUGCCGCUUGCAAGCCAAGAACUUUGGGAGAGGGCAGAAAGGUCAGACAACAAAAUCACUCAGAGGAAGCAACACCUGAACUGAAACCAAGAGACCAAGAAUAAAAUAAAAUAAAAUAAAAUAAAAUAAAAUAAAAUAAAAUAAAAUAAAAUAAAAUAAAAGUAAAUAAAUACAUCUGAGGAUUCCAUCUGUAGGAAACGAUGGAAUGUGUAGAGCACAGGGCAGAGGGUGUUCAACAAAUAGGAAAGUUUCAUUCUUAUUUUUGGUGGGCCCAGUGAUGGAAGAUGAGUAUGUUUGAAGUGAAAUAUUGAUUAGCUACUUGUAUGUAUGUCAUCUGUCCAGAUUUGAGUAUAUUAGUUAAGAAGUCCUCUGAAGACAGCCUAAAAUGAUUGGCAUGUCACACAGAGGUGAGGUCGGAAGCAUGCAAAGAAGUGUAUAGAAAGGAAAGAGGACACAGGGAGAGAGGGCAGAUAGAAAGAAUGACUAUUUACAAUUAUUUUUGUCUAUGAGAAAAAUAUUACAAAUGGACAAAGCAGGGAUGUGAGCAAGAAGCAAGAAGAUAACCACACUCAAGCUAAUGAUAAUGAUAAUCAAUACCGGGCUUUCCUUUCUUGGAGGCAGGUACCUGCUAAGCACUUUAAAUGCAUUAUUUCAUAUAUAGCCCAUCCUAGAAAGCACUACAAUAUCAGUGUAGGGUUCUACAACAAGUUCUUCUGACUUAUUGCAGAAAAUGGACUUUCAGCAACCACACUGAGCUCAAAUGCAAAGCAACCACUGCAUCUUUUAAGGGUCACUGUGCUCUGGAUCUAAAAUAUAGCAGGUACUCAAUUAAGAGGAAAUAAACAAUAGAAUGUUAAUAAUGUAAGAGAACUUUGAGGUGGCCCAUUCCUUUUCAUUAAUAAACAGUAUUGGAAGUCAGAGAAGAAAUGGCUUCCAUAAUCUGAUGCUGGUGCUACCAUGUACUACGCAUCUAUUACUCAACCUCUAAUAAGGAAUAUGCAUUCUGAAGCAAUGCCCAACCUAGCAAGGAAUUUUAUUUUGCUGCUCCCUCAGUUCAUGAUGUGCUUCUGCUGACAUUCCUUUAGGUUAAGAACAAUUACUCCCUUUCUCCUUGUCUUAUUACAACUGAAAAGAGAAAAGCAGCAAUCAGAAUUUUCAGGGAAGUUCCUUACUUGCAAAGGGAAGAAGGCCACAUGCCAGGCCCAUCUCUGCCCCCUGGGAACCUCAGCGUUAAGUUGGCAGAGACACUGUCACUAGAGCAGCAGCUCCCACACUGAGGUGCUGACCAGGUUAGGAACCUAUUUUCCUGCCAUCACGUGCCCUUCAACAAUAAAAAUGUAAUCUCUAUGUUUCCCCAAUAUUUAUUCUUCCCUUCCACCCCAUAAGAGAAUGUCUAUAUAAUUAGCAAUGGCUUUAGCUAAAAACCUCCUCUUGCAGAUGGAGUGGCCCCAUGAGAUAUAAGUAAAAGUCAAUGGGUAGAGGUUCCAGGACAUUCUCUGAGGGAGAGAUGGGAAUGUAAUGGCUGGACUUCCAAAGAUGUCCUUGGACCUAGAGGGUGGAAGCUGUCCAUUGGAGAUGGCAAAGUCAAAUGAUAGGCAGUUCUGAUAUAAUUUUAGCCCUGUAUAUCUCUUGUAGACUAUUUUAUGUGAAGGAAAACGAAAAGCCCUCAUUUAUUUAAGCUGUUUUGUUUGGGCUUUCUGUAGUAUGCCACUAAACCUAACCCUAACUAAUACAUCCUUUCCCAAACUCCUCUUACUAUUCUUAGACUAGUAAGUAUCUCAAAAUUUUCUUUGUGGUAGAUAAGAUACCACCACCGCUUUUUACUCUAGUUUAGAAAAAGGACUCCUUUUGGUAAGCAAAGUGUCAUGUCAGCUAUACAUGCAUUUCUUGGCUGAUAAUCAAAACUUCUUUUCCUUGUUAUAAUUCAAAGAUUAGGCGCAAAUCUAUACUCUAUCCUUCACAUAACACAUGACCUGAUGUUUUUUCUUUCUUUCUUAGCUAUAUCUGAGGGACUUAGAGUGGGUAGAGGUUUGGAAAGAAAAAACAAUCAGGUUCUUUAUAUGCUUAUACUGCUGCCAGAUGGGAGCCUGGAGGUUUAUGGCACCUCUUUAAUAUCCUUAGGGCCCUGCAAUUUUGGGAGGGAUCAGAAAGAAGCAUUGCUUUUUGGAAAACUCGACAAGUGUAAAAUCCUUCUGUUUUUUGGUUUGACCUCAAUAUUUUGUGCCUGUUUCCAGAUUUUCUAAAGUUCUUUCAUUUCUUCUCUUUUUCUCUUUCAUUUUUGUUCUGUUUCUUUUGUACUUUACUCAUAAUUUUAGAAACAGUUGCACAUUUACAGAAAUAAUAUUCUUCUUUUGAAGGCUGAAGGACAGGGUUGGCAAGAGGGUAGGGAUUUCCAUGGAGUAAAGGAGGUAACUUUGGGAAGGGUGAUUUGAACAGUAAAUGAAAUACAGCCCAACAUGAUGAAGUACUUGCGUAACUGCAGAUCUUUCAGUGGGCUGGAUAGAUGUUAUCCAUGUUAGCAUAUCCACAUGGGUCCCACUUUCCCUGGUAGGACCUAGAUAAGCCCUCCCAUUGGAUGGUCCCAAGAGCUGAGAAAGCUGCUACAUUGAGAAGGGCUCUACCUAUUCCUUUUUCAUUAUCAUUUCUCUCCAUUCUCUCCCAUAUACUAGUACAAGGUCCUUUCAUGCAUCUCUCAAUUACGCCUAAACGGUAAAAUCAUGGAGGUAUAAGUAAAAAUUUUAAUGAUGAGUGCCUAUGAAUUUCAAUUUUUCCAUGUAUAUUACUGUGUAAUAAUAAGCAAGAUACGAAAUCUUGAUAAACCCAUUCCCUUUUUUUAUACAAGGUAAAUUGCAAUCUCUCUUAUUAAAUGUUAAAUGAAACAUACAACAUACAUAUAUGCUUUGUCCAAAAUCACGUUUGGAUCUUUGGUAUCCUCAAGGCUCAAUAAAUUGUUUAGAAAUAUUUAUUGGAGUUCCCAUUAUGGCUCAGUGGUAAGUAACUAGUAUCCAUGAAUAUGUGGGUUCGAUCCCUGGCCUUGUUCAGUGAGUUAGAAGAUCCGGCAUUACCAUGAGCUGUGGUGUAGGUUGCAGACAUGGUUCGGAUUUGGCAUUGCUGUGGCUGUGGCAUAGGCCAGCAGCUGCAGCUCCAAUUUGACCCCUAGCCUGGGAAAUUCCAUAAGCCAUGGGUUCAGCCCUAAAAAGAAAAAAAAAAUAUUGACACACAAUGCCUAAGGAAUACUUGCUUAAGUUUGAAUAAUACAUAAUGAACUAAUGAAUGAAUGUCCUAAUGGCUUUGCUUUUAGUCCUAGCUGAAUUUUAUUUGUGUAAUGGCAUUCUGUAUUCAAGCUAACAAUGAGCUUAUUUCAUUGUAAAGCAAUCUAACAAUAAGGUGACCACAUAAUCCAAACUAGGACAUUUUUGAGGCACUAUUAAUAAUUGCUUUGAAACAACUUAUAUAAACUGGGAUUAUCCUGAACAAAUAGAGGUAUAUAUAUAGUAUACCUCUCUCUAUAUAUAUCCACCUUCUUAAAAACUACACAGCUCUUGGCUUGAUCCAUUGAUAAGGAUCACAAAUGAAUCUGUAAUUCUGAUAGUAUGCAAAGGUUUGAUUUUCUCAAUGUUUAAGCCAAAAGAAGUACCCAAAAAUUGUGUAUGUAUGCCUUACUCUGCGCAAUGGAUUGCUUCCUGAACAACUGUGUUUAUUGGAUUUUUAAUAAUGAAAGUUACAUAUACAUUCCCAUGGGCACUUUAUAAAGAAUCUCAGUACUGAACCAUUUUUAAAGUGAUAAAACUCUAAAAUUUGAAUAAUCAGCCCUCCCACUGGGAACUCAGAUAUCCAAUUUAUUUGCUUAUAAGUUAAAGUUUGUUUAGUUUCAUAUUGAGUUUUCCAAAGUAUGACAUAUCUUCAGGCCGCAGUCUUGCAUGAAAUAUGUCCUAAUAAUAUGUGACUAGUCAAUUAUUCACCUAGGGCACUUUUAGUCACCUAAGACUGUUACUCUAAUGAAGUUGCCAUCUUAAUGGGGUGAUAGACAGAAACAAUAGAGGACUGUCACAGAGCAAUGUGAAAGGACAAUUUCUCUUCAAGAUAGCACCCCAUGUUCCUAGAUAGCCACAGAAUUAAAAUCCUUCUGCCCCAUGAAAACUAUAAUAGGAGUGUCUGCAAUUAAGGUUGUGGGGUUAGAUGGACCGUAGAGCUCCUUUAUUGCAUUUGAGAUCUAGACUGUUAUAGUCUUACUAGUUGAGUUUAUCAGAGUGACUUUAGUAAUACCAGAGAUGAAUCUGGUAGCAUAAGCAUCAGCCUCGGCCCUUCAGUGGCCAACAAAGACUAAUUAAGAAGUGAAACAUUGGUUAAGUUGCUCUCCAUUAGGGCAAGAUAAUGUAUUCCUGGAAGUACCAGGAGGCUGUAAUUGCUAGGCCCUAGAUAACUCUGAUUUAGUAAGAGAGCUUUAAUGUUUAACAUAUGUUAAGGUUCUAGAAAACCUUUCAGCUAUGACUGAUACUGAGGGCUCCGUGUGUAUCCUGUUUGAGCUGCAAACAUAGAAUGUCACUUUAUAAAAGAUGUUUAACACUUAGCAUGUUAAACCCAACCAUUUCAACCCAUCCAAACAUCUCACUUGAAUAGUCCUAUUUAAUAAGCAGUAUCAAUACCAUAACUUGAAGGUAAGAAAAUUUCAAGUGUAACCCAGGUUGUGUUAGUCACUAGGUCUGAGAGCUAAACAAAGCUUGUUUACUUAUCCAAAUAUUAAUUACUUCAUAUAUAACAUUAGAGGAUUUGGACCGUAUAUACUAUAGAUUUCUUUCAUAAUUUACAUUUUAGGAGUAAUUCCUUGAAGCCUCUAAUAGAAACCUAGGAUGUUACAGGAUGAUAUAAUGAAGGUCUAUGGUUAGAGCUGAUGGCCAAGAAGGGAACUAACUCAAAACUUAAGCCAAUAAAAAAAAGAAAUCAGUCUUUCUGACAUAAUAUAGCUUACUGUCAACAUGUAAACAUCAGAUAUCAUGCUAUUACCACCAUAACAUGUUCUUCAGUUUAAAAAUUAAUCUGUAAUACAUAACAAUUACAUUACUUAUCUUACAGAAGAGGAAACAGAUGCAAAGGAGUUAAGUAACUUCUCCAAGUUUGCUAGAACUUAAGAACUUAAAAAACAGUCCAGAUUUGCUUACUUCCAAUUAGUCUCUUUCAUAUCUUAGAUUUCUUCAGGUGGAAAAUCACAAGAAAACUUAGUUUAUGUUAGUAAACAGCACUAGGUGCUCUAGGAUUACUGAAUGAAAACAUUCUACUUUACUAACAGUAGGAAACAAAUGGAAACACUUUUACACUUCUCUUCAACUGUCUCCACCCUCAUAUCUUAUACCAUAGAGGUACUUUGUGUACAGGGAAGGACAGAGAAUAAAAUGCAAUCAAUUGGCUAAGAAACAAUGAGCCAACUUGCAGUUGGUCUAAAAGAUAAGCUAUACUUUUAUUACUGUUUUGGGAAGAGUAAUCCAGUAAUGAUACCUAAGCACAUCCUUGGACUCUUUUCUGCUGCAGAGAAGGACAGUUAGAAGCGAAGGACAGAAAUAAAAUAGUACAAUCCUCUAGAUUCUAUCUGAAUUGAGUAGAGGGGAAAAUGAGCUGAAAUUCAACUGUGAAGGGGAAAAAAUAAAAAGUGAUGACAUGGAAACUGGAUUUUCAAAAAGUAGGUAGAGUGAAAGAGGAGGUGGAUAUAAAGAGAGAAGUUCCUAAGGCCCUAUGUUUCUGCCUUUGCAUUGACCACUUAUUUAUGUAUAUGUCUUAUGAAUUAUAGAACCACAAAUACACAUAUAUAACAAAAACAAAUAGAGAAACAAUACAUGUGUUGAUAACCCUUCUGUCUAGUGAUGCAUUUGUACAUGGACAGAGGCUUAUCAUGAAGCCCAAUAUGUCAUGGGAACAGAAGCUACUACUAAUUAAAUAUUCAGAGAAAGGAAAAAAUAACACUAGAGGAGUUCCCAUCAUGGCACAGUGGAAACAAAUCUGACAAGAAGGUUGAGGGUUAGAUCCCUCACCUUGCUCAUUGGAUUAAGGAUCUGGCGUUGCUGUGAGCUGUGGUGUAGGUCACAGACAGGGUUUGGAUCUGGCGUUGCUAUGGCUCUGGUGUACGCCGGCGGCUACAGCUCCGAUUAGACCCCUAGCCUGGGAACCUCCAUAUGCUGUGGGUAUGGCCCUGAUAAGACAAAAGACCAAAAAAAUUUUUUUUAAUUAAAAAUUUUUUAAAAAUAACACUAGAAAACAAAAACCUACAAUGCCAAGACUUUGGAUUGACAUUCUUUCACUGGGCAAGAAAAGUCCCAUUGUUUUAUACAAAUACCAUCUAGAUUUAUCUUCUUACAUUCAUUGAAUGAUUAUUCCCAAGGUAACUGAUGAUGGCUACAGGUAGUAAGUAGUUCAAUACUCAUCCUAAAAUUUGUUAUAUGAUGGACUACUGGCUAAUGAGAUUUGUUUUCUUGAGGAAGAGUUAACCUAAUUUUUGUUGGCUGCCUAUGGUGAUGCAAAGCCUUUGAACUAUACUGAUGUCUUAUUUUUCUCUUGGUCAUGACUUUUCUUGGUUUUUGCUUUAUUUUGAUUCAAAGACAACAGGGAUAACUGCUCAUCUCCUGGUAGGUGCAAGACACAUACAGAUUAUGCCAUCUUCUAUGUGUAGGAAUCUGCUCUAAAUAGGUGGUAGAAAAGUUAACUAAUAUGAAAAAAAAUCCCCAAAUUUUGGUUUGCUAUUUGAUUUAAAUGUCUUAGCUAUAAUAAACAAAUUUUUUGUCGUUGUUUAAUUUUCUACUCUUUUCAUGGAAGCAGCACUUUGAGUAUAAAUAACGUCUCAGAAUCAGGUAAAUUACUUCCAGAGCUUUAUGACAUGCUAAUGUGCUCCUUUGGAUUUCCUGAGUCCUUCUGCUGUUAAGUGCUGCCAUUCACUGUUUGAACACUACUUAGAAUUGCACACUAUUCCUCAAAAGGUCAUCAAAGCACUUAAUAAUUUUAGAAAGAGAUAAGCAGGACAGAAGACCUUAUCUGUAUAUCAAAUGUGAGUUCAUGUGUGACCUGCAACACCAGCCAAACUGCUGUCCCUAUCAAUCCUACCUCCACUUCGCCCUAUCCUUGACUAGCACCACGCUGGUAAGGACUCCACGACUCCCCACGCUCAUCCUGGCAUCUACAUUGAUUUGCUAUAGAGCCUCUGACCAGUCACAGAUGGAAAUUUACCCUCAUGUUAAUGUAAAAAGGAAACUAAGAGAAGUAGAAUGUCCAUGUAAAAUGUACUGAGGAGAGAUAACCCACACUCUUGCCUACAAAGUAAAAACUACAAACUCCAAAAAUUCUUUUGGGUUUGUAGUUUCAGUGCUAGACAUAAAUUACCAUUUUCUGGGGAAAUCUAUUUCAGAAUGUGGAAUUAUGACUUUUUAUUUUGAAUUGCGUGUAUGUGCAAUACAUUCUCUCUUUCUGUUUCUGCCUAUAUCUUUGUCUCUUUCUGACUCUGUGUGUGUGUUUGCCUGUCUGUCUUUCCAAAAGUGCCUGGAUGGCCAGCUACUAUGGAUUUCUAAAAGAUUUUUUACCAUGAGUAGCCCCAGAUUUCUUCUAAAUUUAAGAUUCUCUUCUGUUUCUUUUCUGUUUUUUUCUAAGUACUUUCUCUGUUUUCUCACUAAAUUUCAUCUCUUCAUUGUAAACCAUCUCAGAAGAGAUUUCCUGCCUGGUCUGCCUCACAUUUAGUAUAUUAUUUUCAGAAUUUACAUUUUCCCUUCCUCCACCUUUGACCUUUGCUCUGAGUUUUCAUACUUAGUCCAUAUAUUAGAAUUUGAAAGACACAGAGGUUGUACUGGAAUAUGAUUAAAAACAUGUUGUCAUUGUAUUAUGUGACUUGUACUUCUGUUUUGUUUUUUCAGUAUUAUCUAGCUGCUCCAUUAACUAGGAUUUAGGUAAUGGAAGAAUAAAUAAAUGUCAGGAGCUCUUAAGAACUGGGAAUAUAAAUGAAACAAUGUUAAUAAAACUGAUGCUUUUCUAUGUAAUAUCAGAUAUGUAAAUCUAUAUCAGCUUUGUUUACUUUUAAAGCAUUUUUGUAUGCUUUUUAUGCUUAAAAUAUUGUUCUAUGUGAAAUAAACACCCUCGAUCCAUGUGUUUCAAUUUCAGUAGUUAAUUCCCAACACACUGAGUACUAGGUGCUGAACAAAUAGGUUUUUCUCACAUCUCAAGCGACUUAAAACCACAGCCUAUAUGAGGUUAAAACCGACAAAGCAGUAAAACAAAAGAUGUUUGUCACUAAAGAUGGUAAAGAAAUUUAUGAUUGCUUAUUAAAUUUUUGUUUUUACCAUUUUCCAGUUAAAAGAUCUUUUCAGGAAAGGAUGAAAUUUAUAUGACGUUUAUAUCGUAUUAGGUAUUGUAAAUGAUGUAGAGAUGACUGAAAGUAAACUGGAGGAAUUGUAUAGGUUAUAUGCAAACACUACACCAUUUCAUAUAUGGGAUUUUUUUGCAUGUUGGACUUUGAUAUUGCAGGGAGAUUCUGGAAUCAAGCCUCCAUGCAUACGGAGGCACAACUGUACAGUACAUACAAAUUUAACAUAACUGCUCUAUAGUUUAGGACUUUUUUUAAUCUUGAGAGGAGGUGGUGUAAAGAGACCAUUAUCUAUAACUAGGAAAUAUCUGGAUUAGAAAGUAAAUGAAUCUACCUGCUUCCUUUAUGUUAUGGUUGGAUGUACCUCUUAAAGCCCUCAAAAAGAUACAUUUGAAUUUUUUUAAAUGUUACUUUAUGCAGGAUUACUCGACAUAGGAACUUAAGGGUUACUUUAAGUUAGUUUAGACUGAAAAUAGACAUAUCUCAGAAAGGGUCAAGAAGUUUCAUGGAUAACAGAUAGAUAAGAUAAUAACAGAAGAGGGCCUUUGUGGUAGAUACUAAGCUGAAAGAUUGAAGUCUGUAAAGAAAUCUCAUGAAGAACAGAAUAUGAGUCCAAAUACAAGGAUCUGGGCCAUUGGAGCAACUCUUAUUGAGAACAUCCUAGACAACCUGCCUAGAGGGCAGCCAGGCAGAGGGUCCACUACUGAAUGGGAUGGCCACCAAUGGUCACUAAGGAGAAACUGGAAUGUACAGAACUCCAAGGCACUCAUGUUUUUCUCAUUUGUUCAUAGUUGUGGUCAGAUGCUGUCCACCCACAAGUUAGUACACAUGGAUCACAAGACAUACAGUAUACAGUUAGGUGAAUCAAAAGAAAAGCCAUUCCCCAACAGAUCGACCAUGUUGAUCUAACUCUCUAAGCCAGUUUCUGUCUGAUAGGCCAUUUUGAGCAGCUCUUUUGUCCCCCACUCCCUUGGGCAUCUAGCUGACGGAGCUCAUGUUUCAUUGUUUUCAUCUUAGGUUUACUACUGGCAGAAAGCAGACUUUGAAUGGACUAUCGUUUGAAAAGAACUGGGCUAGAGCACCCUGUGUUCC